ACCGCGGUAGUCCAGUUGCUAGUGGCUUCGGCAGUACAGAUACCGAAGGUCACAGGUUCAAAUCCUGUCUGCGGUG